UACGUAGGGGACGAGCGUUGUCCGGAAUUACUGGGCGUAAAGGGCGCGCAGGCUGUGCUGCAAGUCAGCUGUGAAAUGUCUGGGCUUAACCCGGGCAUGCGGUUGAGACUGCAGUGCUGGAGUGCUGUAGCGGCAAGUGGAAUUCCCAGUGUAGCGGUGAAAUGCGUAGAUAUUGGGAAGAACACCGGUGGCGAAGGCGACUUGCUGGGCAGCAACUGACGCUGAGGCGCGAAAGCCAGGGGAGCAAA
rnacentral:rRNA from 1 species